rnacentral:rRNA from 1 species
AUCAUGGCUCAGGAUGAACGCUAGCGGCAGGCUUAACACAUGCAAGUCGAGGGGUAUAGUAGCAAUACUAGAGACCGGCGCACGGGUGCGUAACGCGUAUGCAAUCUACCUUUCACAGAGGGAUAGCCCAGAGAAAUUUGGAUUAAUACCUCAUAGUAUAGUACCUUGGCAUCAAGGAAUUAUUAAAGUCACAACGGUGAAAGAUGAGCAUGCGUCCCAUUAGCUAGUUGGUAAGGUAACGGCUUACCAAGGCGACGAUGGGUAGGGGUCCUGAGAGGGAGAUCCCCCACACUGGUACUGAGACACGGACCAGACUCCUACGGGAGGCAGCAGUGAGGAAUAUUGGACAAUGGGCGCAAGCCUGAUCCAGCCAUGCCGCGUGCAGGAUGACGGUCCUAUGGAUUGUAAACUGCUUUUGUACAGGAAGAAACACUCCCUCGUGAGGGAGCUUGACGGUACUGUAAGAAUAAGGAUCGGCUAACUCCGUGCCAGCAGCCGCGGUAAUACGGAGGAUCCAAGCGUUAUCCGGAAUCAUUGGGUUUAAAGGGUCCGUAGGCGGCUUUAUAAGUCAGUGGUGAAAUCUCCCCGCUCAACGGGGAAACGGCCAUUGAUACUGUAAGGCUUGAAUUAUUAGGAAGUAACUAGAAUAUGUAGUGUAGCGGUGAAAUGCUUAGAGAUUACAUGGAAUACCAAUUGCGAAGGCAGGUUACUACUAAUGGAUUGACGCUGAUGGACGAAAGCGUGGGUAGCGAACAGGAUUAGAUACCCUGGUAGUCCACGCCGUAAACGAUGGAUACUAGCUGUUGGGUGCAAACUCAGUGGCUAAGCGAAAGUGAUAAGUAUCCCACCUGGGGAGUACGUUCGCAAGAAUGAAACUCAAAGGAAUUGACGGGGGCCCGCACAAGCGGUGGAGCAUGUGGUUUAAUUUCGAUGAUACGCGAGGAACCUUACCAAGGCUUAAAUGUAGAUUGACCGGUUUGGAAACAGAUCUUUCGCAAGACAAUUUACAAGGUGCUGCAUGGUUGUCGUCAGCUCGUGCCGUGAGGUGUCAGGUUAAGUCCUAUAACGAGCGCAACCCCUGUCGUUAGUUGCCAGCGAGUCAUGUCGGGAACUCUAACGAGACUGCCAGUGCAAACUGAGAGGAAGGUGGGGAUGACGUCAAAUCAUCACGGCCCUUACGCCUUGGGCUACACACGUGCUACAAUGGCCGGUACAGAGAGCAGCCACUGGGCGACCAGGAGCGAAUCUACAAAACCGGUCACAGUUCGGAUCGGAGUCUGCAACUCGACUCCGUGAAGCUGGAAUCGCUAGUAAUCGGAUAUCAGCCAUGAUCCGGUGAAUACGUUCCCGGGCCUUGUACACACCGCCCGUCAAGCCAUGGAAGCUGGGGGUGCC